GACGAACGCUGGCGGCGUGCUUAACACAUGCAAGUCGAACGGUAAGGCCCUUCGGGGUACACGAGUGGCGAACGGGUGAGUAACACGUGGGUGAUCUGCCCUGCACUUCGGGAUAAGCCUGGGAAACUGGGUCUAAUACCGGAUAGGACCCUGGGAUGCAUGUCCUGGGGUGGAAAGCUUUUGCGGUGUGGGAUGGGCCCGCGGCCUAUCAGCUUGUUGGUGGGGUGAUGGCCUACCAAGGCGACGACGGGUAGCCGGCCUGAGAGGGUGACCGGCCACACUGGGACUGAGAUACGGCCCAGACUCCUACGGGAGGCAGCAGAGGGAAUAUUGCACAAUGGGCGCAAGCCUGAUGCAGCGACGCCGCGUGAGGGAUGACGGCCUUCGGGUUGUAAACCUCUUUCAGCACCGACGAAGCGCAAGUGACGGUAGGUGCAGAAGAAGGACCGGCCAACUACGUGCCAGCCGCCGCGGUAA
rnacentral:rRNA from 1 species